rnacentral:rRNA from 1 species
UUAAGCGACUAAGCGUACACGGUGGAUGCCCUGGCAGUCAGAGGCGAUGAAGGACGUGCUAAUCUGCGAAAAGCGUCGGUAAGGUGAUAUGAACCGUUAUAACCGGCGAUGUCCGAAUGGGGAAACCCAGUGCAAUUCGUUGCACUAUCGUUAACUGAAUACAUAGGUUAACGAGGCGAACCGGGGGAACUGAAACAUCUAAGUACCCCGAGGAAAAGAAAUCAACCGAGAUUCCCCCAGUAGCGGCGAGCGAACGGGGAGCAGCCCAGAGUCUGAAUCAGCUUGUGUGUUAGUGGAACGGUCUGGAAAGUCCGACGGUACAGGGUGAUAGUCCCGUACACCAAAAUGCACAGGCUGUGAACUCGAAGAGUAGGGCGGGACACGUGGUAUCCUGUCUGAAUAUGGGGGGACCAUCCUCCAAGGCUAAAUACUCCUGACUGACCGAUAGUGAACCAGUACCGUGAGGGAAAGGCGAAAAGAACCCCGGCGAGGGGAGUGAAAAAGAACCUGAAACCGUGUACGUACAAGCAGUGGGAGCACCUUCGGGUGUGACUGCGUACCUUUUGUAUAAUGGGUCAGCGACUUAUAUUCUGUAGCAAGGUUAACCGUAUAGGGGAGCCGCAGGGAAACCGAGUCUUAACUGGGCGUUAAGUUGCAGGGUAUAGACCCGAAACCCGGUGAUCUAGCCAUGGGCAGGUUGAAGGUUGGGUAACACUAACUGGAGGACCGAACCGACUAAUGUUGAAAAAUUAGCGGAUGACUUGUGGCUGGGGGUGAAAGGCCAAUCAAACCGGGAGAUAGCUGGUUCUCCCCGAAAGCUAUUUAGGUAGCGCCUCGUGAACUCAUCUUCGGGGGGUAGAGCACUGUUUCGGCUAGGGGGUCAUCCCGACUUACCAACCCGAUGCAAACUACGAAUACCGAAGAAUGUUAUCACGGGAGACACACGGCGGGUGCUAACGUCCGUCGUGAAGAGGGAAACAACCCAGACCGCCAGCUAAGGUCCCAAAGUCAUGGUUAAGUGGGAAACGAUGUGGGAAGGCACAGACAGCCAGGAUGUUGGCUUAGAAGCAGCCAUCAUUUAAAGAAAGCGUAAUAGCUCACUGGUCGAGUCGGCCUGCGCGGAAGAUGUAACGGGGCUAAACCAUGCACCGAAGCUGCGGCAGCGACACUAUGUGUUGUUGGGUAGGGGAGCGUUCUGUAAGCCUGCGAAGGUGUGCUGUGAGGCAUGCUGGAGGUAUCAGAAGUGCGAAUGCUGACAUAAGUAACGAUAAAGCGGGUGAAAAGCCCGCUCGCCGGAAGACCAAGGGUUCCUGUCCAACGUUAAUCGGGGCAGGGUGAGUCGACCCCUAAGGCGAGGCCGAAAGGCGUAGUCGAUGGGAAACAGGUUAAUAUUCCUGUACUUGGUGUUACUGCGAAGGGGGGACGGAGAAGGCUAUGUUAGCCGGGCGACGGUUGUCCCGGUUUAAGCAUGUAGGCUGAUUGUCCAGGCAAAUCCGGAUAAUCAAGGCUGAGGUGUGAUGACGAGGCACUACGGUGCUGAAGUAACAAAUGCCCUGCUUCCAGGAAAAGCCUCUAAGCAUCAGGUAACAUCAAAUCGUACCCCAAACCGACACAGGUGGUCAGGUAGAGAAUACCAAGGCGCUUGAGAGAACUCGGGUGAAGGAACUAGGCAAAAUGGUGCCGUAACUUCGGGAGAAGGCACGCUGGUGUGUAGGUGAAGUCCCUGCGGAUGGAGCUGAGACCAGUCGAAGAUACCAGCUGGCUGCAACUGUUUAUUAAAAACACAGCACUGUGCAAACACGAAAGUGGACGUAUACGGUGUGACGCCUGCCCGGUGCCGGAAGGUUAAUUGAUGGGGUUAUCCGUAAGGAGAAGCUCUUGAUCGAAGCCCCGGUAAACGGCGGCCGUAACUAUAACGGUCCUAAGGUAGCGAAAUUCCUUGUCGGGUAAGUUCCGACCUGCACGAAUGGCGUAAUGAUGGCCAGGCUGUCUCCACCCGAGACUCAGUGAAAUUGAACUCGCUGUGAAGAUGCAGUGUACCCGCGGCAAGACGGAAAGACCCGUGAACCUUUACUAUAGCUUGACACUGAACAUUGAGCCUUGAUGUGUAGGAUAGGUGGGAGGCUUUGAAGCGUGGACGCCAGUCUGCGUGGAGCCAACCUUGAAAUACCACCCUUUAAUGUUUGAUGUUCUAACGUUGGCCCCUGACCGGGGUUGCGGACAGUGUCUGGUGGGUAGUUUGACUGGGGCGGUCUCCUCCCAAAGCGUAACGGAGGAGCACGAAGGUUAGCUAAUCGGUCGGACAUCAGGAGGUUAGUGCAAUGGCAUAAGCUAGCUUGACUGCGAGCGUGACGGCGCGAGCAGGUGCGAAAGCAGGUCAUAGUGAUCCGGUGGUUCUGAAUGGAAGGGCCAUCGCUCAACGGAUAAAAGGUACUCCGGGGAUAACAGGCUGAUACCGCCCAAGAGUUCAUAUCGACGGCGGUGUUUGGCACCUCGAUGUCGGCUCAUCACAUCCUGGGGCUGAAGUAGGUCCCAAGGGUAUGGCUGUUCGCCAUUUAAAGUGGUACGCGAGCUGGGUUUAGAACGUCGUGAGACAGUUCGGUCCCUAUCUGCCGUGGGCGCUGGAGAAUUGAGGGGGGCUGCUCCUAGUACGAGAGGACCGGAGUGGACGCAUCACUGGUGUUCGGGUUGUCAUGCCAAUGGCACUGCCCGGUAGCUAAAUGCGGAAGAGAUAAGUGCUGAAAGCAUCUAAGCACGAAACUUGCCCCGAGAUGAGUUCUCCCUGAGACUUUAAGUCUCCUGAAGGAACGUUAAAGACGAUGACGUUGAUAGGCCGGGUGUGUAAGCGCAGCGAUGCGUUGAGCUAACCGGUACUAAUGAACCGUGAGGCUUAACCU